rnacentral:tRNA from 1 species
GUUGGGGUGGCAGAGCUCGGUAAUUGCAAAAGACCUAAGCCCUUUAAACAGAGGUUCAAGUCCUCUCCCCAACU